rnacentral:rRNA from 1 species
AGAGUUUGAUCAUGGCUCAGAUUGAACGCUGGCGGCAGGCUUAACACAUGCAAGUCGAACGGUAACAGGAAGAAAGCUUGCUUUCUUUGCUGACGAGUGGCGGACGGGUGAGUAAUGCUUGGGAAUCUGGCUUAUGGAGGGGGAUAACUACGGGAAACUGUAGCUAAUACCGCGUAAUAUCGAGAGAUUAAAGGGUGGGACCGCAAGGCCACCUGCCAUGAGAUGAGCCCAAGUGGGAUUAGGUAGUUGGUGAGGUAAAGGCUCACCAAGCCGACGAUCUCUAGCUGGUCUGAGAGGAUGACCAGCCACGCUGGAACUGAGACACGGUCCAGACUCCUACGGGAGGCAGCAGUGGGGAAUAUUGCACAAUGGGGGGAACCCUGAUGCAGCCAUGCCGCGUGAAUGAAGAAGGCCUUCGGGUUGUAAAGUUAUUUCGGUAGCGAGGAAGGCAUUUAGUUUAAUAGACUAGAUGAUUGACGUUAACUACAGAAGAAGCACCGGCUAACUCCGUGCCAGCAGCCGCGGUAAUACGGGGGGUGCGAGCGUUAAUCGGAAUAACUGGGCGUAAAGGGCACGCAGGCGGUGACUUAAGUGAGAUGUGAAAGCCCCGGGCUUAACCUGGGAAUUGCAUUUCAUACUGGGUCGCUAGAGUACUUUAGGGAGGGGUAGAAUUCCACGUGUAGCGGUGAAAUGCGUAGAGAUGUGGAGGAAUACCGAAGGCGAAGGCAGCCCCUUGGGAAUGUACUGACGCUCAUGUGCGAAAGCGUGGGGAGCAAACAGGAUUAGAUACCCCGGUAGUCCAA